UUCGCCAAAUUAAAACCUUGGCGUCAAACAAACAUGUAGCUCAAGCUUUUGAAAGCGUUAUAUUUGUUGUUGUGAUUUUUGAAAAGUUUAGAGUAAAAUGUUGACUGAUAUUGAGAGUUUUACAACUGUUGGCAUUUAUUUCCUAUUUAAAUUAUUUUUUAAUAUAUAACUGAAGAUUGUUUGGCUUCAAGGAUGCUGUUGUGUGAAUUAUGACAAGAUAAUUUUUCAUUUAACUCAAAGAGGUAAAUUUGCUGCCCUGCCUAGAGCUGUAUUAACUACACCUGUAUACUUUUAUAGACAUCAAAGGAGAAUGUGCAGCUCAGAAUUCAUGGUCAAAAACUAUCGGAUGUGAAAUGUAAAGAAAGAGCACUCGAUAUACAUCUCAUGUAUUGACUAUCAGGAGUUGAUUUGUCAUGACUUCAGCGGAGUUAGAUCUCAAUUCCAUAUUUAGUUAGCUUCACUGGAGUUGGGAAUCAAAUGUGAAUGGACCUUGAGUAAUUUACAGGAUGUGACAACACAUAGCCAGUGUGAGCACAUACCACAUGUUUGAGUACAUACUGAUUUACAUGCUGCAUUUUGCUGAACAGUAUCUACCAGUUGUAAAAAAUGUAAAUAUGACAUAAAAUAAAUCAUCAGCAAUUACAACAUGUGAUUUGCAUUUUCAUGUUUCAGUUCUUGUCACUGCUACAGCGAAGAAGUAUCUCUGUGUUGUUUUUAAUCUUCCAUCUACCAGAUAUGUCUACUGGACCAGAUAGCGAUAUUUAAUGCAAGUUCUUUCAUCAAAAAUAGAUAUAAAAUAUUGUUAUUAUUUGAUUUUUCUGUCAUGUUCUUCUGUAGUUAUAUGCAGUUUAUCAUUAAAAUGUGUUUGAAAUUUU